rnacentral:rRNA from 1 species
AAUAGAUACCCUGGUAGUCCACGCCGUAAACGAUGAGUGCUAAGUGUUAGAGGGUUUCCGCCCUUUAGUGCUGCAGCUAACGCAUUAAGCACUCCGCCUGGGGAGUACGGCCGCAAGGCUGAAACUCAAAGGAAUUGACGGGGGCCCGCACAAGCGGUGGAGCAUGUGGUUUAAUUCGAAGCAACGCGAAGAACCUUACCAGGUCUUGACAUCCUCUGCCAACCCUAGAGAUAGGGCGUUCCCCUUCGGGGGACAGAGUGACAGGUGGUGCAUGGUUGUCGUCAGCUCGUGUCGUGAGAUGUUGGGUUAAGUCCCGCAACGAGCGCAACCCUUGAUCUUAGUUGCCAGCAUUCAGUUGGGCACUCUAAGGUGACUGCCGGUGACAAACCGGAGGAAGGUGGGGAUGACGUCAAAUCAUCAUGCCCCUUAUGACCUGGGCUACACACGUGCUACAAUGGAUGGUACAAAGAGCUGCGAACCCGCGAGGGUAAGCGAAUCUCAUAAAAGCCAUUCUCAGUUCGGAUUGUAGG